rnacentral:lncRNA from 1 species
GUUUAUGUAGAAAAUGUUAUGCUGACUUGAGUUUUUAUAUAUUUUUUUUUUAUCUAUACUCGGAUUAAAUGCAAGUAUGAGUGUGUUAAAUUGAUGUUUAUGUAGAUUUUGAUUUAAUAUAUUGUUGAAAACCAUAACCACUAUUGUUUUAACUAAUUUUUAGUCAAAGGUAGGGGGACACCAAACCAGACAACCUAUAAGUUUUGGAAGGAAACAUAUCAACACAAAAGAGGGGUGGGGGUCUACAUCAAGGAGCUGCUGGUGAGGGUAACUUUUUAUGGAAUGUCAAAUAUGUCAAAGCGGUUCAAUAUUGUUUAUUUAACAAUGGAUAGAAGUUUAUAUGUAAAUCUUGACUCAAUGGGUCAAAUAGUAUGAAUGAUCCCAUGAAAUUAACAUUUAAAGAUGAUGUCAUGAUAGCUGGCAAUGGGAAAUAUAAAUUGGUUGUAAUUUUCCCAUGAAAUAUAUGAAUGUGUAGGGAUUUUCUAAUAACUCAAUAUUUGAAAGGAGGCUGAUUUUAAAACUCCAGCUGGAUGACUGUACCCAAAUUUGUAUGUUAAGCGCCUCCUAUUCUGUGCCCAUAAACAUGUGUUUUGCCACACUGAACUAAAGCAAACUUUCAGGGUUUCUUUCAGGAUCUUCACCUACAUCUUGUCACAUGAAUUUUAGAAUAGCUUUAAGAUAACUCUAUUUUACAAACUUUGUCAGAAAUCCCAAUUUAAUUUGCUUAGUUAUGCUCUUGCAAACCAGUUCUCAUAUAAAUAUAAAAUGAUAAACAGUUUAUUAUUAGGUUUGUGUU